rnacentral:tRNA from 1 species
CUGACGCCGGGCGGCUUCGCCGUGAUGCAGCCUGGCACGCCGCACUUCGCCUGGACCGACCGGGAGACGGUGGUGCAGAUCCACAGCGUCGGGCCA